UCUUGCUUUGGCAUUAAAGGAAGCUAGUUUAAUUACGAAAACUAGUUUCCUCUAACGUUUCAAACAAUA
rfam:Drosophila simulans chromosome X, whole genome shotgun sequence.